rnacentral:lncRNA from 1 species
UUUUUUUUGUUUUUGUUUUUUGGUUUUUUUGGUCUUUCUGCCUUUUCUAGGGCCGCUCCCGCAGCAUAGGGAGGGUCCCAGGAUAGGGGUCUAAUUGGAGCUGUAGCCACUGGCCUAUGCCAGAGCCACAGCAAUGCAGGAUCUGAGCCACGUCUGAAAACUACACCACAGCUCGUGGCAACGCUGGAUCCUUAACCCACUGAGCAAGGCCAGGGAUCGAACUGGCAACCUCAUGGUUCGAUCCCUGGCCUCACUCAGUGGGUUAAGAAUCCCACGUGGCUGUGGUGUAGGCCAGCAGCAACAGCUCCGAUUAGACCCCUAGCCUGGGAACUCCAUGUGCCGCGGGAGCAGCCCUAGCAAAGGCAAAAAGACGAAAAAAAAAAUGCGAACAAUCCAGAUGAUCUUCAAUGGAUGAAUGGUUAAACAAAGUGUGGUGCAUCCAUACCAUGAAAUACCAUACAGUAUAGAAAAGGACCCCUACAGACACCUACAACAACUUGGGUGAAUCUCCAGGGACUUGUUCUGAAUGAAAACAGAAAACUCCAGAAAGCCAUGUAUGAUUCCAUUUGUAUAAUAUUAUUGAAAUAACAAAACCACAGAAAUAGAAAACAAAUUAAUGGUUGCCAAAGGUCAGGGAUCAGGCAAAGAGAGAAGGCAGAUGCGGCCAUAAAAGUGCUACCCGUAUCCUUGUGGUGAUGGAACUGUUACGUAUUUUAACUGCUUCAAUGUCAAUAUCCUGGUUGCAAUAUUAUCCUACAGUUAUACAAGAUGUUCCCAUUGAGAGAAACCAAAUAAAGCCCACACAGAUCUAACAACUGACAUGCCUCCACAGUAAGCGCAAUUAAAAUGUCAGUUAAAUAUAAAAACUUUAAUAAAAGCUAAUUUUUUAAAAGCACCAUUUAUAACAGCACUAAUAAAAAGAAAACACCUGGGUAUAUCUAACAAAAUAUGCAUAGAAGUUAUGUGCUGAAAACUACAAAGCACUGAUGAACUAAAUGAAAGAUCUAAAUAAAUGGAAAGCUAUGUCCUGUUCAUGAAUUGGAAGAGUAAAUAUUGUUGAGAUGUCAAUUUCUCCCAAAUUGUUCUAAAGAUUCAAUGAAAUCCCACUCAAAAAUCCCAGUAGUAUUAUUUUUGGAUAUUGAGAAGAGCAUUCUAAAAUGUUAAGAGAGACAAAAUAAUUGGAACACCUAAACAAAGUUUGAAAAAAGAACAAAGCUGGAGGACUCACACUACCUGCUUUCAGGUCUUAAUGACAAAACUGCAAUAAUCAAUACAGCGUGGUACUUGUGAACAAACAGACACAGUGGGAGAGAGGAGAGUCCAGAAACAGACUACGAUGCACUCAACUGAUUUCUGACAGAAAGGCAAAGGCAAUUCAAUGGUAAGAGAACACAGUCUUUUCAAGAAAUGGCGGUGGAACAAACUGUACAUGAAUAUGCAAAAAAAAAAGGGGAAAAAAAAGGGACUCAAGUCUACUUCAUACCUUAUAUAAAACACUACUCAAAACGGAUCAUGGACCUAAAUGUAAAACAAUAAAAUUAACAGAAUUUAUAAAAGGAAAUAAAGGAGAAACUCAUUGUGAACUUGGGUUAGGUAAAAAGUUCUUAAAUAUUAAAAGCAUAUUCCAUGAAAUAAAAUAGUAAUUGUCAUCAAAAACAUAAAUCUUUGCUCUGCAAAAGAUCCUACAUACGUUCCUCAACUUAGCACGGCGUCAUAUCCUGCCAAGUUCAUGGUAAGGUGAAAAUACUGUGUAAGUAAAAAAUGCAUUUAAUACACCCAACCUGCCCAACUUCACAGUUUAGCCUCACCUACUUUCAACAUGCUCAGAAUAUUUACAUUAGUCUACAGUUGCACAAAAUCAUCUAACACAAAGCCUAUUUUAUAAUAAAGUAUUGAAUGUCUCCUGUAAUUUAUUGAACACUCUACUCAAGGUGAAAAACAGAAUGGUUGUGGGUGUACAGAAUGGCUGCAGGUAUAUUGUUUACCCUCCUGACCACAGGACUGAUGAGCUAUGGCUACUGCUGCCCAGCAUCAUGAGAAAGGAUUGUAUCAUAUAUGGCUAACCCAGGAAUAGAUCAAAAUUAAAAACUGAAGUACAGUGCCUACUGAAUUUGUACCGCUUUCACACCAUCAAAAAGUCAAAAAAUCAUUAAGGGAGUUCCCAUUGUGGUGCAGCGGAAAUGAAUCCGACUAGGAACCAUGAAUCCGACUAGGAUCCUUAGCUCAGUGGGUUAAGGAUCUAGCGUUGCUGUGAGCUAUGGUGUAGGUCGCAGAUGUGGCUCAGAUCUGGCAUUGCUGUGGCUGUGGUGUAGGCCAGCAGCUACAGCUCUGAUUAGACCCCUAGCCUGGGAACCUCUAUAUGCCACAGGUGCGNACUAAUAAAAUGUAAAGAUCUCCCCAGCCAGGAAGAAAAUGUUUGCAAAUCACAUAUUUGACAAAGAACUUUUAUUCAGCACACACAAAACUUCUCAAAGCUUAACAGUAAGAAAACAACCUUUUUUUAAAAAAAUGGGCAAAAGAUUUGAACAGACACUUCAUAUAGUGUGUGUAACAUCAUCAGUCAUGAGAGAAAUGCAAACUAAAACCAUAAUGAGAUACCACCACGCAACUAUUCCAACAGCUCAAGAAGAAGAAAAACUGACAAUGCCACACACUGACAAGGACACGGAGCAACUGGAACUCUCACGCACUGCUGAUGGCAAAGCAACACGGUACAAGCUGAUCAUAUACUUGGCGUAUAACCAAGUGAUCCCACUCCUAGUAAAAAUGAAAACUCAUGUUCAUAUAAAGACUUGUUCACAAAGAAUUAUAGCCGCUUCUUUCAUAAUUGCCCCAAACUGGAAAAACUCAAAUCCACUUCAAUUUAUGAGGGAAUCAACAAAGCGGUGUAUCAAUCCCAGAAACUACUACUCAGCAUUCAAAUGGGACAAAUUGUGAAUGCACACAGAGACGUGAAGGAAUCUGAAAUGCAUUAUGCUAAAUGAAAAGAGCCUGACUCAAAGGCUAGCUACUGCAUGCUUUAUAAAUUGUCCUAGAAAAGGCCAAACUAUGAGGAUAAAAAACAAACUUGUGGUUGUUAAGAUACAGGGAAUAUUUCUAGUGACUAUAUUGGUGGCUAUGUGAUUCUAUGCAUCUGCCAAAAUUUAGAACUGGACACCAAAAAGAGUGAAUUGGGGUGAGUAUUAAUUUUAAAAAUAAAGUUAUUUUUAUAAAUAAAAAAUUUAUACAAACCAUACAUACAUACUGAACUCUUGUUUUAAAGAAAAGUAUAUACAUGGCUCAAAAGGUAAACACCAAAAUACUUACAUUUGUAUCUCUUUUACAUAUUUUAAAAUAAUUUUUAUAAAGAACGUUUUUCCCAAAUCUGAAUAUAUAAAUGCACACACACACAUAUCUUCAGCCUGACUCCCCCUCUAUGUGUGUUUCUGUGUGUUCAUAAAGUUCUAAAAUAAAUAGCAUCUUGAAGCACUAAAAUGCUAAGGUGCACAGAAAAUUAGAGACAAAUAAGAUGGAACAUAUUUGCUUCUCUAUGGUUUCCUGUAUUUUCCAGAAUUCUAUGUAUUGCUUUUGAAAUUAAAUGUUUAAGUUACACAGUCUGACAGGUACAAAUAUAAGUCAGUAAGAAGGGGCUAAACCAUUGUCUAACAGACGUUUUAGAAUUCCACUGUCAUGAACACAAGCCAUUUGCUCUAUUGCCACUUUGCAAAUUCAAACAAUUUCUCUGGUAAUUCUUGACUAGCCUGUCCUGACCCAGCCUGCGGAAGCAGCAUCCUAUUGCUGGCUGCACUCCACCAUGGGUCUGAUCCAGGGGGCUCUGACGCCCAGAGAGCUCUGUGCUCACUGUCCACUAAUAGGAUUACCCUGCAGGUGAGAAAGGGGCCCUUUAACUGGCCAGCCACAGCCUGCUAGACACAAAAGCUAUGUUGCUACGGAAUCCUAAGCUGUAAGAUUUUUCCAAGUGUGCCUGGAACAUCUGGUUCAAUAUGGAAAACUGUACUAUUGUUCACACUUCCCCAGAAACAUAUGACAUUUCAGGGGAACACAGAGAAACAAAUGAAAGCCCUCAAGAGCAGCUACCAAUUUUGCUAAAUGUUAAUACCAGACACGGGGAAUGGCAAGGAUGGGAAAAGAAGUGACCUCAACUAGUGGUCAGAUGACUCUCUGUGAUUUCAAUAACAUUUGCAACUAAGAAAGGGAAUGGGCGAUUAUAUCAUCAACUAUUUCCCCAACUCUGACAAAACCAGGCCUGUAUUUUAUGUUUGAUCCAAAAGAAACACUUUCAAAGAGGGGGGAAGAAGACUCUAUGCAAAGAAUUAUACUCACCAUUCUUCCCCCAGGUUAGGAAAAAGCAUGAUCUAAUCGUUCAAGUUUAUGUGUAUUUCAGGGUCAAGUCUGAUUGUACCGAAGGGGGGGAAAAAAAUUGCAGUUUCACCCUCUUUGGAUAACAUCCAGAAAAAAAAAAAAAAAAAUACCACCUAAUUUUUCCGGAGUACUCAGUGAACUACUGGCCUUCACAUGGCACUCUGUGGUUUUUGACUGGCAAGGCUAAGUAUCAUAGUUACAUAAUAGUAUACAGAAUCUCUUCUCAAGAUAUUUUAUUUCCUAUUUAAAAUUAAGCCAUGGACUGGAGUCAAGAAUAUUUUAUUGUAAGUAUAUAAAUAAAUAUAAGAUAAACUGAAAUGCAUUAUUUAGUAUACUUACACAGUUUAUUCUCCCUUUUUUUUGACAUUUUUAAAGGUCAAAAAUUCUAAGUAUGUCUAAAAGCAAAAAAUGUAUCCUCCAGGUAUAUUUGACCAUUUCCUGUUCUUUGAACACCCCAACCUUUCAACAUCUGAGCCCUUAUUUAUCCUGCUCCCUCUGUGGUUUUCUUAAAUUCUUUUGCAAAAUGGAUUUAGAUAACAAAAAUAAGUACCUAGAUUAUAUUACCUUAAACCUCUGCAAAAAUGCCCUCACUCAGUCAAAACAGAUGACCAUGACUUUGGCUUUUGUAAAAUCGUAAUAUAAAAAACAUCAACUACAAGAAUAUUUCUACAGAUAUUCUGCUAGAAAACCACCAAAAGCACUAUCUGCUAUGCUACCCCCAUGUCCUUUAUAUGACUAGUUGAGUGAUAAAUAACCUUGCAAAGUCACUGACUGGAAAAGUUAUAUUUUUCCUGAUAAACUAUUAUGCCGCCUUUAUUCCAACAGUAGGGACAAUGCAAUCAAAAAAGUAUUCCUUUUCAUCUGGUUUCCCUGAAGAUUAGCUAAACUUGUUUCUCCAUUGCAAUAAAAAGCCUAUCCUUGGUGCCAAAAAACAUAUUUUUCUCUUACUUUAAAAUUGUCCUUUUUAACGUGUUUUUAACUACGUCACAGUAAAAGUGAUAUUAUUAAACAUAUUUUGAAAUAUGUUUAAAUAUGUUUUAAAUAUAGUGCACAGAAUUAAGAUAUGAAGGCUGCAGCUUACAAACGAUUCCAUGUUAGAUUACAAGACCGAAAAAGCUUGGCUAGAGCAGCAUUUAUCAAAUCAGAAUGUGCCGCAGAAUCAUCGACUGAUCUUACCAACAGAUAGACUCUGAUUCGGAAGGUGUGGGGUGGAGCUGGAGGUUCCACAUUUCUACCAGGCUCCCAGAUCAGGCUACUGCUGGUCCUCGGACCACACUUGGAGGAGGUAGGGCCUAACCAGUGUUGCGCCCACGCAAGAAUGAAAAGUCAGUAGAGGAGAAAGAACGAACACACUGGGGCUCUAAGACAUGAUAACCCUCCAAACGGUAAAUACCAUAAACUACAGCAAAUGGGAUCAUCAAAUUUCUGUUUCAACCUCUAAAAAUCAAAGCAUAUUAAAUCCAAUAUCCAUACUAAUUUCACUUUUAUAUCAAAUGUCCAGUUUACACUUUUCAAAGAAGUUGAUUCUCAUGCAUGGGUUAGACAUUCUACCACAGAGAGCUGAAUAAAAUUCCUGUUGAUAAUAGUUCCAAAAAUCCCUAUUAUUUUGAACGUCUUAGGAGGAAAUAGGACAAGAAUACUCACUGAACACUUGGAAAGUUUCCAUUUCUUCAGAUGUUUAGUAAACACCUAUUGUAUUCCAGCACUACUUUGAGGCCUCAACAUCUAGUUUCUUUUUUCUUUGUAUUUAUCUAUGCUGAUUUGAUUCUGAUUCUUUAUUUCUUCUAUUGGAGGGGGGCAAUUAUUAUUAUUUAGUUGGUGAGUAAGUGAAUGAAUCUGCAUCAUUUGAAGAACAUUCAUCAGCUGUGCAGUGCUCAAGAAAAUAUUUGAGGAGUUCCCAUUGUGGCUCAGUGGUUAAUGAACCUGACUAGUAUCCAUGAGGACAUGGGUUCAAUCCCUGGCCUCACUCAGCAGGUUAAGGAUCCGGCAUUGCUGUAAGCUGUGGUGUAGGUUGCAGGUGCAGCCUGAAUCCUGAGUUGCUGUGGCUGUGGCGUAGGCCAGCAGCUACAGCUCCAAUUCAACCCCUAGGCUGGAAACCUCCAUUGCCCCUGUGUGGCCCUAAAAACAGACAAAAGACAAAAAAAAAAAAAAAAAAAAAAAAAAAAAGGGAAAAAGAAAAUAUUUGAACAUUAUAGUAAGUUUAGUUAAAAUUUUCUUUCUUUCCAGCUUAUUUCCAAUUAAGAAUAUUCCUCCUGGCAUGGUAAGUUGCAUAAUGAUAAUUUCUAAAAUAUUUCACAGUAAAGAAAAGGCCUAAUUUUUCCAAUGUCUUUCAGUUUUUAUAGACUCUCAUCUUGCCCGCUGUCACAUGUGCAUCACCUCAGCAUAGUUUCAUGGAUGCAGGAGGCAAAAACCUGUAUUUUGAUUAAAGUUAAAAUUAACUAGCUAUCUAACAUAAAAGAACUGAGUCACUGCUUAAGUACAACAUUUAAGGUUUUUUCCCAGGUCACAGCAAGAGCCAAGUGUACCAGUUUUCUAUUGCUGCUGUAACAAAUUACCAUAAAUUGAGUGGCUUAAACACAGAUUUAUUAUUUCAUAGUUCUGGAGGUCAGAAGUCCAAAAUGGGUCUCACUGGGCUAAAAUCAAGGUGUCAGUAGAGCUAUGUCCC